rnacentral:rRNA from 1 species
AGCGAACGCUGGCGGCAGGCCUAACACAUGCAAGUCGAACGAAGUCUUCGGACUUAGUGGCGGACGGGUGAGUAACACGUGGGAACGUGCCUUUAGGUUCGGAAUAACUCAGGGAAACUUGUGCUAAUACCGAAUGUGCCCUUCGGGGGAAAGAUUUAUCGCCUUUAGAGCGGCCCGCGUCUGAUUAGCUAGUUGGUGAGGUAAAGGCUCACCAAGGCGACGAUCAGUAGCUGGUCUGAGAGGAUGAUCAGCCACAUUGGGACUGAGACACGGCCCAAACUCCUACGGGAGGCAGCAGUGGGGAAUCUUGCGCAAUGGGCGAAAGCCUGACGCAGCCAUGCCGCGUGAAUGAUGAAGGUCUUAGGAUUGUAAAAUUCUUUCACCGGGGACGAUAAUGACGGUACCCGGAGAAGAAGCCCCGGCUAACCUCGUGCCAGCCGCCGCUGUAAUAC